AAAAUUAGAGUGUUCAAAGCAGGCAGAUCCAAUUUUCUGCCACCGAAUACAUUAGCAUGGGAUAAUGGAAUAGGACCCUGUCCUCCUAUUUUCAGUUGGUUUUGGCAGCGCGAGGACUAGGGUAAUGAUUAAUAGGGAUAGUUGGGGGCAUUAAUAUUUAAUUGUCAGAGGUGAAAUUCUUGGAUUUAUGAAAGAUUAACUUCUGCGAAAGCAUCUGCCAAGGAUGUUUUCAUUAAUCAAGAACGAAAGUUAGGGGAUCGAAGACGAUCAGAUACCGUCGUAGUCUUAACCAUAAACGAUGCCGACCAGCGAUUAGGAGACGUUGAAUACAAAACACCACCAUCGGCGCGGUCGUCCUUGGCGUCUCGGUUUCGGCCGGGGCGCGGGGAUGGCUUAGCCCGGUGGCACCGGUGAA
rnacentral:rRNA from 1 species